UACGAAGGGUGCUAGCGUUGUUCGGAAUUACUGGGCGUAAAGCGCGCGUAGGCGGUCUAUCAAGUCAGAGGUGAAAUCCCUGGGCUCAACCCAGGAAUUGCCUUUGAAACUGUUAGACUUGAGUACUGGAGGGGAUAGCGGAAUUCCUAAUGUAGAGGUGAAAUUCGUAGAUAUUAGGAGGAACACCGGUGGCGAAGGCGGCUAUCUGGACAGUAACUGACGCUGAGGCGCGAAAGCGUGGGGAUCAAACAGG
rnacentral:rRNA from 1 species